AGGUUGUUAGCUCAGUUGGUAGAGCAGGAGACUUUUAAUCUCAAGGUCAAGAGUUCGAUUCUCUUACAACCUACCA
rnacentral:tRNA from 1 species